GUUUGAUAGUCUCUUGAUCCGGAAAAUGCCACAAAACCAUGCAAAUCAAGAGGUUCAAGUUGUCAUGUUCACUCAAGAACACUUGUGAAAAUGCCCAGGCCAUUAAAGGUACGCAUGUACAAAAAGAUCACCAAGUUAUCCGAAAGAUGUCACUUUACAGAAACAAUGUGUACCAUUUUGACAUUACAGGGUGGAGUUGGUAGGUGUGCCCAGGCCAAACAGUGGGCUAGACACAGGGUUGGUAGCCCAAAAACAAAGCUAAAUUCUUCCUGAACAUGUUUAAAUACACAGGGAGUAACGCUGAACUCGAGGUUUAGAUGGAAAUUCUCUGGUCACUGAGCACAUCCAGGUGAAUCAAACACCCAAGAUGUGCUAGCCACUGUCCUUUCAGAGCUCAUGGUCAGAUUAAUUUGUAUGUGAGCUCCCUCGGCUACAUGGAGAUGAUCCUCGCUGGAAAGAAAUUAUUCCUAAGCCAUAAUUGUUCUGUGGCUGCACAGAAAAAAAAAGAUAUCCCAGAAGAAACUGAAGAAACAAAACUUACGACAGG
rnacentral:lncRNA from 1 species